CCACGUUUCAAAGGUGUCAGACCACGCAAA
rnacentral:piRNA from 1 species